AUCUAUGGCCAUGCCGCCCUGAACACACCCGAUCCCGCCUGAUCUCGGAAGCUAAGCAGAUCGGGCCUGGUUAGUACCGGGAUGGGAGACCACCUAGGAAGACCAGGUGCUGUAGGUG
rnacentral:rRNA from 1 species